GCUGCGGUGUCCGAGUGGUUAAGGAGAUGGACUUGAAAUCCAUUGGGUUCUACCCGCACAGGUUCGAAUCCUGUCCGCGGCG
rnacentral:tRNA from 2 species